AGCAGCCGCGGUAAUUCCAGCUCCAAUAGCGUAUAUUAAAGUUGUUGCAGUUAAAAAGCUCGUAGUUGAAUUUCGGGAUCAAUAUGUCGGUCGUGCCAUUGGUACGUACUGGUAUCAUUGAUUUCUCCUUUCUGACGAACCAUGAUGUCAUUAAUUUGGUGUUAUGGGGAGUUAGGACCGUUACUUUGAAAAAAUUAGAGUGUUUAAAGCAGGCAUUAGCUUGAAUACAUUAGCAUGGAAUAAUGAAAUAGGACGUUUGACCCUAUUUUGUUGGUUUCUAGGAUCGACGUAAUGAUUAAUAGGGAUAGUUGGGGGCAUUAGUAUUCAAUUGUCAGAGGUGAAAUUCUUGGAUUUAUUGAAGACUAACUACUGCGAAAGCAUUUGCCAAGGAUGUUUUCAUUAAUCAAGAACGAAAGUUAGGGGAUCGAAGACGAUCAGAUACCGUCGUAGUCUUAACCAUAAACUAUGCCGACUAGGGAUCGGAUGAUGUUAAUUUUUAAUGACUCAUUCGGCGCCUUAA
rnacentral:rRNA from 1 species